UUUGUUUGAAAGAUUCGUCGGAUACGGAUAGGCUCGCGAGACAUUAGCUAGUUGGCGGGGUAACGGCCCACCAAGGCGACGAUGUCUAGGGGUUCUGAGAGGAAGGUCCCCCACAUUGGAACUGAGACACGGUCCAAACUCCUACGGGAGGCAGCAGUGAGGAAUAUUGGUCAAUGGCCGGAAGGCUGAACCAGCCAUGCCGCGUGCAGGAAGACGGCCCUAUGGGUUGUAAACUGCUUUUGUGGUGGAGCAAUAAGGGUUACGUGUAGCCCGAUGAGAGUACAUCACGAAUAAGCAUCGGCUAACUCCGUGCCAGCAGCCGCGGUAAUACGGAGGAUGCAAGCGUUAUCCGGAUUUAUUGGGUUUAAAGGGUGCGUAGGCUGUUCGUCAAGUCAGAGGUGAAAUACCACAGCUUAACUGUGGAACUGCCUUUGAUACUGGCGAGCUGGAAUACGGAUGCCGUGGGAGGAAUGAGUAGUGUAGCGGUGAAAUGCAUAGAUAUUACUCAGAACACCGAUUGCGAAGGCAUCUCACGAAUCCGUCAUUGACGCUGAGGCACGAAAGCGUGGGGAUCAAACAG
rnacentral:rRNA from 1 species